rnacentral:tRNA from 1 species
UCCCAUGUGGUUCAGUUGUUAGAGCAUGGUGUUUGCAACGCCAGGGUUGUGGGUUCAAUUCCCAUGGGGAA